rnacentral:rRNA from 1 species
GACGAAGGGGGCUAGCGUUGUUCGGAAUUACUGGGCGUAAAGUGUGUGUAGGCGGUUGUUCAAGUCAGGUGUGAAAGCCUUGAGCUCAACUCAAGAAAUGCACUUGAUACUGGAUGACUAGAGGACCGGAGAGGAUAGUGGAAUUCCCAGUGUAGUGGUGAAAUACGUAGAGAUUGGGAAGAACACCAGUGGCGAAGGCGGCUAUCUGGACGGUUUCUGACGCUAAGACGCGAAAGCGUGGGGAGCAAACAGG